UUCAUUCACCAACGGAGGGAGGUCAAAACUGAUUCCAGGACAGUGACCACCAUACUCAGGCUGUCUCAACCUGGUCGAUAUACUGUUGAUAACCAGGCCCGAAGCGGGCGAAGCCGAAGCGAAGCUGGUUAUGUAAGUGCACGAAGCCACAUGCCCCAGAAGGCUGAGGCACGU